rnacentral:rRNA from 1 species
CGCAUCUGUGCAUGCAGCAUAUCAAUAAGCGGAGGAAAAGAAACUAACAAGGAUUCCCCUAGUAACGGCGAGUGAAGCGGGAAGAGCUCAAAUUUGAAAUCUUAAAGGGUUUCCCUUUACGAAUUGUAGUUUAAAGAAGUGUUUUCUGUUGAGGUUUUGGUAAAAGUUCUUUGGAAUAGGACAUCAUAGAGGGUGAGAAUCCCGUAUUUGACCUUUACUUUCAACUUUGUGAUACACUUUCAAAGAGUCGGAUUGUUUGGGAAUGCAGUCCAAAAUGGGUGGUAAAUUUCAUCUAAAGCUAAAUAUUGGCGAGAGACCGAUAGCGAACAAGUACCGUGAGGGAAAGAUGAAAAGAACUUUGAAAAGAGAGUUAAACAGUACGUGAAAUUGUCAAAAGGGAAGCGUUUGACACCAGUGUUGUUUUUCUGAAAAUCAAUUAAAGAACUGUUUAUGCUAAGUUGUUUAGACUUUAUCAGCUAUCUGUUUAGUUUUGAGCUUUUCUUUAAUGCACUUUUCAGUUAACAAGUCAACAUCAAUUUCUUUUGCUGUAAAAAAGCUUGAGGAAGGUGGCUUGAGAUUCGUCUUAAGUGUUUAUAGCCUCUUGCCUAUGCAGUCGGAGAGAUUGAGGUCUGCAGCGUAGAUCCUUCGGGGCUAAAUGCAUUUGUGCUAAGUUAUAGCAUUUUAUAGACAACUUGUUGACUAUGAUUUGUCUUGUAGCUUACUCGCUUAUGUUAUUUUACCUACGCUUAGGAUGUUGAGUCGUAGAGCACGCAG